rnacentral:rRNA from 1 species
GACGAACGCUGGCGGCGUGCUUAACACAUGCAAGUCGAACGGAAAGGCCCUGCUUUUGUGGGGUGCUCGAGUGGCGAACGGGGGAGAAAAACGUGAGUAACCUGCCCUUGACUUUGGGAUAACUUCAGGAAACUGGGGCUAAUACCGGAUAGGAGCUCCUGCGGCAGGGUGGGGGUUGGAAAGUUUCGGCGGUUGGGGAUGGACUCGCGGCUUAUCAGCUUGUUGGUGGGGUAGUGGCUUACCAAGGCUUUGACGGGUAGCCGGCCUGAGAGGGUGACCGGCCACAUUGGGACUGAGAUACGGCCCAGACUCCUACGGGAGGCAGCAGUGGGGAAUAUUGCACAAUGGGCGGAAGCCUGAUGCAGCAACGCCGCGUGCGGGAUGACGGCCUUCGGGUUGUAAACCGCUUUCGCCUGUGACGAAGCGUGAGUGACGGUAAUGGGUAAAGAAGCACCGGCUAACUACGUG